ensembl:lncRNA
UGGAGGUUGGCAGUCUGGCGUUGGUCAUUGCGCCCAACCUGCUGCAGUGCCCGGUGGAAAUCUCCCGCCUGACGGUCAGCACAGAGAAACAGCUGGACCAGCAGGCAGCGGUCAUCGCAACACUCAUCAAGCAGUCCGAUAACAUCGGUCAGAGCUGUGCUGCGCAGAUAUAGGAUUGCAUUGUCUCCUCGGGCGUGCCCCAUUCAUCAUUUUCCUUGUGAUUUAUUAUUAUUAUUUGUUCUUCUGCCGUCUUCUGUGACUCAGGGUUGGUACCUGAGUGGGUGUGGAAAGACUCAAGAAAAGCCAGUGGCUCCUCUCCACCAGCAGAUGGCGCUGCAUUUAACCGGCGCGGCGGGUUAAAUGUUUAUCGGAGCCUGAGACGGCAGCGCAGGCGCAGUGUGGGGGAAAUGUUUGUGGAUGCGUUGAGCAAACUGAAAACCACCCGCACCACUGCUGGCUCAGAUUCCACGUCAAGUUCUAUUCAGAGGUCUAAGAGUCCAAUUCCUAAGUCUCCUGCCACAGUGAAGAGGAAGACCACUGAAGAACCAGCAGCAGAGGGCGAUGAGGGAUCAGCUAAGAAGAGGUAACUUCAUUUUGUUCGGUGUGUGUGAAUUUUGUUGUGAUGUUUCACUGCACCCGGUGUGUGGUUAUUCCUGUUUGCAUGCAUGGGCAGUUUGAUUGAUUUUAAAUAGUGUGGUUUUUAUAGGCGAUCGCUCCAUGAUGUGCGGGAGGACAGACAGCUGGUUCAGCAACCUGGUUGGUGACUAACUUUAAUUUGGCACUAGCCUUGACGUUACACGACCUUAACAAAGUGUCCAAAUGCACUUGCAUGAUUUCGCUUUUGCAUUGGUCCAGUAAUGUCCUGUGAUUGGACGACUGUCUAUCAAAAGUGCAUUUGAACAGACGUUGCACUUCAGAUAAAGCCACACGUUGUACCGUCGCCCCCCUGCUGUUCACCUUCUCAGCCUGUGUGUGUGUGUGUGUGUGUGUGUGUGUGUGUGUGUGUGUGUGUGUGUGUGUGUAGACACAGCCAUAACCCUCGCUGCCCAGGAAGGAGGUCUGACUGAAAGGGGGAGGAGGCACAGGAGCCAAAGGUGUUCAUACUUAAUGCCCUUUUUCAGUCAUUUCAGAAAUCUAUUCUCUUUGAUCAUUGAAAUGCACAAAGUAAAAUCACGCAGAAUGGAGCCUUCUGUCAAUCAUUUCCCACCAACCCGGACUUACCAGGGCAUCUCCCUAGGUUUCCCAGAAGUUCUGACCCCCC